CGGAAAUUGCCAUCGCACUUACUUCGCAAGCUGUCAACGUGGGGAAAAGUGGCGCAAGGAACAUUACUAGAAAACCACAGCCAAAUAACACUACACCCUACUGCCGGUGAGUAAGGUCGCCAGAGCUCAACGAGGGUGCGGAGUGUUAGGGUCGGCAACGCGUAUAUAACUCUUCUGAAGUUGCAGGCGUCCAUAGGCUACGGAGACUGCAUCAGGCGGGCCGUAUGCUUGUUUACUACCAAUAUAGUUUAUAAAAAAGCAAUUCAGUUAUGCAUCAUGCACCGCUGCAGUCUCAUCCGAAUGCAACCUUAACAUAAUACGUCCAAUAAACUUGACGAGUUAAGUCGGAAGAUUAGAUGACAGCCUUCCUAAUCGUUUGCAAGUCCUGAUUGUUUCCUAGUGUAAUUAUUAACUAAUAAGUUAUUUAUAUAAGUAAUGAAACCUUAAUAAAUGGAACCUCAGUGCAUUA